rnacentral:rRNA from 1 species
GGUUAAUGCUAGCGGUGCGCCUAACACAUGCAAGUCGAGCGGCUGCGCGAGUAGUUUACUACUUGGCGGCGAGCGGCGGACGGCUGAGUAACGCGUGGGAACGUGCCCCAAAGUGAGGGAUAACGCACCGAAAGGUGUGCUAAUACCGCAUAUGAUCUUCGGAUUAAAGAAUUUAUUCGCUUUGGGAGCGGCCCGCGUCGGAUUAGGUAGUUGGUAGGGUAAUGGCCUACCAAGCCGACGAUCCGUAGCUGGUCUGAGAGGAUGACCAGCCAGACUGGAACUGAGACACGGUCCAGACUCCUACGGGAGGCAGCAGUGAGGAAUCUUCCACAAUGGGCGAAAGCCUGAUGGAGCAACGCCGCGUGCAGGAUGAAGGCCUCCGGGUUGUAAACUGCUUUUAUAAGUGAAGAAUAUGACGGUAACUUAUGAAUAAGCACCGGCUAACUACGUGCCAGCAGCCGCGGUAA